rnacentral:tRNA from 1 species
AAAAAGAUAAGCUAAAUAAGCUAAUGGGUUCAUACCCCAUUUAUAGAGGCAUCCAAAUCUCUUCUUUUUA